rnacentral:rRNA from 1 species
UACGUAGGGGGCUAGCGUUGUCCGGAAUCAUUGGGCGUAAAGCGCGUGUAGGCGGUUCGGUAAGUCCGCUGUGAAAGUCGGGGGCUCAACCCUCGGAUGCCGGUGGAUACUGUCGGGCUUGAGUACGGAAGAGGCGAGUGGAAUUCCUGGUGUAGCGGUGAAAUGCGCAGAUAUCAGGAGGAACACCAGUUGCGAAGGCAGCUCGCUGGGACGUUACUGACGCUGAGACGCGAAAGCGUGGGGAGCAAACAGG